GUAAACACGCUCAUUCCAAAAUACCCGGAGCACGUGCUUUCUUCUGGCACUGCGCGCGGAGCUCACUCACCAGCUGCUCCCAAUCAGGCAAAGGAGUUGGCUGAAGGACCUUUCUGUACCAGGACUGGAGUUUGAGAGAAGCCUUAAGCACAUCAGAUACCAUAAGAAGAAGAAGAAGGAAAAAAAAAGGAGCACAUGGAUUAACAACCAUGAACUUCACUUCAUAUAUCAUGGUGAGCUGAGAUUGGCUCCAUGUCCUUUUCCCUCUGGGACCAAGGCAGAAGUGGCAGCCCUAACUGGGACAGGUUGAUCUCAUGCAAAAAGAAAAGAGAGAUGGUAGAAGCAGGCAAUUUGGAUUCCAUUUCUGCCU